AUGGAGGUAGAUACUGGAGUGAUGGAGGUAGAUACUGGAGUGAUGGAGGUAGAUACUGUAGUGAUGGAGGUAGAUACUGGAGUGAUGGAGGUAGAUACUGUAUGUAGAGGGAUACUGGAGUGAUGGAGGUCGAUACUGGAGUGAUGGAGGUAGAUACUGGAGUGAUGGAGGUAGAUACUGUAGUGAUGGAGGUAGAUACUGUAGUGAUGGAGGUAGAUACUGGAGUGAUGGAGGUAGAUACUGGAGUGAUGGAGGUAGAUACUGGAGUGAUGGAGGUAGAUACUGUAGUGAUGGAGGUAGAUACUGGAGUGAUGGAGGUAGAUACUGGAGUGAUGGAGGUAGAUACUGUAUGUCCAGGGACACUGGAGUGAUGGAGGUAGAUACUGGAGUGAUGGAGGUAGAUACUGGAGUGAUGGAGGUAGAUACUGGAGUGAUGGAGGUAGAUACUGGAGUGAUGGAGGUGGAUACUGGAGUGAUGGAGGCAGAUACUGUAUGUACAGGGAUAAUGGAGUGAUGGAGGUAGAUAAUGGAGUGAUGGAGGUAGAUACUGGAGUGAUGGAGGUAGAUACUGGAGUGAUGGAGGUAGAUACUGGAGUGAUGGAGGUAGAUACUGUA